rnacentral:misc_RNA from 1 species
CCAAUAGCGUAUAUUAAAGUUGUUGCAGUUAAAAAGCUCGUAGUUGAAUUUCGGGAUCAAUAUAUCGGUCGUGCCAUUGGUACGUACUGGUAUCAUUGGUUUCUCCUUUCUGACGAACCAUGAUGUCAUUAAUUUGGUGUUAUGGGAAGUUAGGACUGUUACUUUGAAAAAAUUAGAGUGUUUAAAGCAGGCUUUAGCUUGAAUACAUUAGCAUGGAAUAAUGAAAUAGGACGUUCGAACCUAUUUUGUUGGUUUCUAGGAUCUACGUAAUGAUUAAUAGGGAUAGUUGGGGGCAUUAGUAUUCAAUUGUCAGAGGUGAAAUUCUUGGAUUUAUUGAAGACUAACUACUGCGAAAGCAUUUGCCAAGGAUGUUUUCAUUAAUCAAGAACGAAAGUUAGGGGAUCGAAGACGAUCAGAUACCGUCGUAGUCUUAACCAUAAACUAUGCCGACUAGGGAUCGGAUGAUGUUAAUUUUUUAAUGACUCAUUCGGCGCCUUACG